GGAAAGGUGUCCGAGUGGUUUAUGGUGACGGUCUUGAAAACCGUUGCACAGAGAUGUGCCGUAGGUUCGAAUCCUAUCCUUUCCGCCA
rnacentral:tRNA from 1 species